GAUGAACGCUGGCGGCGUGCCUAAUACAUGCAAGUCGAGCGAACAGACGAGGAGCUUGCUCCUCUGACGUUAGCGGCGGACGGGUGAGUAACACGUGGAUAACCUACCUAUAAGACUGGGAUAACUUCGGGAAACCGGAGCUAAUACCGGAUAAUAUAUUAAACCGCAUGGUUCAAGAGUGAAAGACGGUUUUGCUGUCACUUAUAGAUGGAUCCGCGCCGCAUUAGCUAGUUGGUAAGGUAACGGCUUACCAAGGCAACGAUGCGUAGCCGACCUGAGAGGGUGAUCGGUCACACUGGAACUGAGACACGGUCCAGACUCCUACGGGAGGCAGCAGUAGGGAAUCUUCCGCAAUGGGCGAAAGCUUGACGGAGCAACGCCGCGUGAGUGAUGAAGGUCUUCGGAUCGUAAAACUCUGUUAUUAGGGAAGAACAAAUGUGUAAGUAACUAUGCACGUCUUGACGGUACCUAAUCAGAAAGCCACGGCUAACUACGUG
rnacentral:rRNA from 1 species